GGAAACGACUGCUAAUACCGNAUACGCUGGUAACGGGAAAGGGGGCCUCUUCUUGAAAGCUCUCGCCAGUAGAUGAGUCCGCGUUUCAUUAGCUAGACGGUGGGGUAACGGCCUACCGUGGCAACGAUGAAUAGCAGGCCUGAGAGGGUGGCCUGCCCACUGGGACUGGAACACGGCCCAGACUCCUACGGGAGGCAGCAGUGGGGAAUAU
rnacentral:rRNA from 1 species